UAGGGAAUCUUCCACAAUGGACGCAAGUCUGAUGGAGCAACGCCGCGUGAGUGAAGAAGGGUUUCGGCUCGUAAAGCUCAGUUGUUAAAGAAGAACGUGGGUAAGAGUAACUGUUUACCCAGUGACGGUAUUUAACUAGAAAGCCACGGCUAACUACGUGCAG
rnacentral:rRNA from 1 species